rnacentral:lncRNA from 1 species
AGCAACCGCGCCGGGGGAGUGGGACGUGCCCUGCCCAGGGCGGGAUAGGGGGGAAACAGUGCCUCCCAGUGGUUGUUUGAGGGCGGCGGCGGUGACACCUGGCAUAAAAUAAGAAAAAAUUGGCCCGGACGCCCACCCGGUUCCUCUCCAGGAUCCCUGACCCCUUCCACCAAUGUCGACCAUUGCUCAGGCAGGGAAGUUGAGGCACAGGAAGGGUCUUGCUUGUCUCGCACAUCCAGGGAGCAGUCAGUUUCUAACCAGGCCAGCCCAGGGGUGUGUUCUAACAUCCAGUGCACCCUGGGGAAACUGAGACAGGCAUGUCUGAUGGAAACCUAUAGAGUAGAUCUGCCCUCCAGCAGUGGGCAGGCAACUUGGGCCACAGAACUCCUCUUCACCCUUCAAAACCCAGUCCCAAAUGCCCUGCCCUGAAA